CAGAACCUACGGGGGGCAGCAGUGGGGAAUAUUGCACAAUGGGGGGAACCCUGAUGCAGCGACGCCGCGUGAGUGAAGAAGUAUUUCGGUAUGUAAAGCUCUAUCAGCAGGGAAGAAGAUGACGGUACCUGACUAAGAAGCCCCGGCUAACUACGUGCCAGCAGCCGCGGUAAUACGUAGGGGGCAAGCGUUAUCCGGAUUUACUGGGUGUAAAGGGUGCGUAGGUGGCAGGGCAAGUCAGAUGUGAAAGGCCGGGGCCCAACCCCGGGACUGCUCUGGAAACUAUUGAACUUGAGUGCAG
rnacentral:rRNA from 1 species